rnacentral:snRNA from 1 species
GGGCUCGCUUCGGCAGCACAUAAUUGGAACGAUACAGAGGUUAGCAUGGCCCCUAUGCAAGGCUGACAUGGAAUAAGAUCUACAAUUUC